rnacentral:rRNA from 1 species
AUUGAACGCUGGCGGCAGGCUUAAUACAUGCAAGUCGAACGAGCGGCGGACGGGUGAGUAACGUAUGGGAAUCUCGCCUAUGGAGGGGGAUAACUACGGGAAACUGUAGCUAAUACCGCGUACCAUAGGAUGAGCCCAAGUGGGAUUAGGUAGUUGGGGAGGUAAAGGCUCACAAAGCCGACGAUCUCUAGCUGGUCUGAGAGGAUGACCAGCCACACUGGGACUGAGACACGCCCCAGACUCCUACGGAGGGCGGCAGUGGGGAAUGUUGCGCAAUGGGGGCAACCUGACGCAGCCAUGCCGGUUGAAUGAAGAGGGCCUUCGGGUUGUAAAGUUCUUUCGGUAGCGAGGCGUUAACUACAGAAGAAGCACCGGCUAACUCCGUGCCAGCCGCCGCGGUAAUAC